rnacentral:rRNA from 1 species
CGGCGAGGGGAGUGAAAAAGAACCUGAAACCGUGUACGUACAAGCAGUGGGAGCCUCUUUAUGGGGUGACUGCGUACCUUUUGUAUAAUGGGUCAGCGACUUAUAUUCUGUAGCAAGGUUAACCGAAUAGGGGAGCCGAAGGGAAACCGAGUCUUAACUGGGCGUUAAGUUGCAGGGUAUAGACCCGAAACCCGGUGAUCUAGCCAUGGGCAGGUUGAAGGUUGGGUAACACUAACUGGAGGACCGAACCGACUAAUGUUGAAAAAUUAGCGGAUGACUUGUGGCUGGGGGUGAAAGGCCAAUCAAACCGGGAGAUAGCUGGUUCUCCCCGAAAGCUAUUUAGGUAGCGCCUCGUGAAUUCAUCUCCGGGGGUAGAGCACUGUUUCGGCAAGGGGGUCAUCCCGACUUACCAACCCGAUGCAAACUGCGAAUACCGGAGAAUGUUAUCACGGGAGACACACGGCGGGUGCUAACGUCCGUCGUGAAGAGGGAAACAACCCAGACCGCCAGCUAAGGUCCCAAAGUCAUGGUUAAGUGGGAAACGAUGUGGGAAGGCCCAGACAGCCAGGAUGUUGGCUUAGAAGCAGCCAUCAUUUAAAGAAAGCGUAAUAGCUCACUGGUCGAGUCGGCCUGCGCGGAAGAUGUAACGGGGCUAAACCAUGCACCGAAGCUGCGGCAGCGACACUAUGUGUUGUUGGGUAGGGGAGCGUUCUGUAAGCCUGUGAAGGUGGCCUGUGAGGGUUGCUGGAGGUAUCAGAAGUGCGAAUGCUGACAUAAGUAACGAUAAAGCGGGUGAAAAGCCCGCUCGCCGGAAGACCAAGGGUUCCUGUCCAACGUUAAUCGGGGCAGGGUGAGUCGACCCCUAAGGCGAGGCCGAAAGGCGUAGUCGAUGGGAAACAGGUUAAUAUUCCUGUACUUGGUGUUACUGCGAAGGGGGGACGGAGAAGGCUAUGUUGGCCGGGCGACGGUUGUCCCGGUUUAAGCGUGUAGGCUGGUUUUCCAGGCAAAUCCGGAAAACCAAGGCUGAGGCGUGAUGACGAGGCACUACGGUGCUGAAGCGACAAAUGCCCUGCUUCCAGGAAAAGCCUCUAAGCAUCAGGUAACAUCAAAUCGUACCCCAAACCGACACAGGUGGUCAGGUAGAGAAUACCAAGGCGCUUGAGAGAACUCGGGUGAAGGAACUAGGCAAAAUGGUGCCGUAACUUCGGGAGAAGGCACGCUGAUAUGUAGGUGAAGCGACUUGCUCGUGGAGCUGAAAUCAGUCGAAGAUACCAGCUGGCUGCAACUGUUUAUUAAAAACACAGCACUGUGCAAACACGAAAGUGGACGUAUACGGUGUGACGCCUGCCCGGUGCCGGAAGGUUAAUUGAUGGGGUUAGCGGUAACGCGAAGCUCUUGAUCGAAGCCCCGGUAAACGGCGGCCGUAACUAUAACGGUCCUAAGGUAGCGAAAUUCCUUGUCGGGUAAGUUCCGACCUGCACGAAUGGCGUAAUGAUGGCCAGGCUGUCUCCACCCGAGACUCAGUGAAAUUGAACUCGCUGUGAAGAUGCAGUGUACCCGCGGCAAGACGGAAAGACCCCGUGAACCUUUACUAUAGCUUGACACUGAACAUUGAGCCUUGAUGUGUAGGAUAGGUGGGAGGCUUUGAAGUGUGGACGCCAGUCUGCAUGGAGCCGACCUUGAAAUACCACCCUUUAAUGUUUGAUGUUCUAACGUUGGCCCGUAAUCCGGGUUGCGGACAGUGUCUGGUGGGUAGUUUGACUGGGGCGGUCUCCUCCUAAAGAGUAACGGAGGAGCACGAAGGUUGGCUAAUCCUGGUCGGACAUCAGGAGGUUAGUGCAAUGGCAUAAGCCAGCUUGACUGCGAGCGUGACGGCGCGAGCAGGUGCGAAAGCAGGUCAUAGUGAUCCGGUGGUUCUGAAUGGAAGGGCCAUCGCUCAACGGAUAAAAGGUACUCCGGGGAUAACAGGCUGAUACCGCCCAAGAGUUCAUAUCGACGGCGGUGUUUGGCACCUCGAUGUCGGCUCAUCACAUCCUGGGGCUGAAGUAGGUCCCAAGGGUAUGGCUGUUCGCCAUUUAAAGUGGUACGCGAGCUGGGUUUAGAACGUCGUGAGACAGUUCGGUCCCUAUCUGCCGUGGGCGCUGGAGAACUGAGGGGGGCUGCUCCUAGUACGAGAGGACCGGAGUGGACGCAUCACUGGUGUUCGGGUUGUCAUGCCAAUGGCACUGCCCGGUAGCUAAAUGCGGAAGAGAUAAGUGCUGAAAGCAUCUAAGCACGAAACUUGCCCCGAGAUGAGUUCUCCCUGAGACUUAGAGUCUCCUGAAGGAACGUUGAAGACGACGACGUUGAUAGGCCGGGUGUGUAAGCGCAGCGAUGCGUUGAGCUAACCGGUACUAAUGAACCGUGAGGCUUAACCUU